UACAGAGGGCCCGAGCGUUGUUCGGAUUCAUUGGGCGUAAAGGGUGCGUAGGCGGCGGGGCAAGUCUGAUGUGAAAUCCCGGGGCUCAACCCCGGAACUGCAUUGGAUACUGCCUUGCUAGAGUACUGGAGAGGGAACUGGAAUUUACGGUGUAGCAGUGAAAUGCGUAGAGAUCGUAAGGAAGGCCAGUGGCGAAGGCGAGUUCCUGGACAGUUACUGACGCUGAGGCACGAAGGCCAGGGGAGCAAACGGG
rnacentral:rRNA from 1 species